rnacentral:lncRNA from 1 species
UUUGGUCCCUUACGUUUAUUUUAGGUUUUAAUUUGGUCCCUUACGUUUAAAAAAUAUCAAUUUGGUCCCUUACGUUUAUUUUAGGUUUCAAGUUGGUCCUUUCCGUCAAUUUUGUCACAUGUGGCAGUCAAUUUGCAUACGUGGACUGACACGUGGCACUUGGACACGCUGACACGUGUACUGUUCAAACGGUGUUAGUGACA